UACGGCUAGAUCACGUUUAAACAUCGAUUCUCAUACGAACACCGAAGUUAAGCAACGUCGAGCCUGUUCAGUACCUCGAUGGGUGACCGUUUGGGAAUACUAAAUGCUGUAAG